AGGAACGCUAGCGACAGGCCUAACACAUGCAAGUCGAGGGGCAUCGGGGUGUAGCAAUACGCUGCCGGCGACCGGCGGAUGGGUGAGUAACGCGUAUGCAACCUGCCUUCAGCAGGGGGAUAGCCCGUUGAAAGACGGAUUAAUACCCCGUAACACAGGGGCUCCGCAUGGAGAUUAUUGUUAAAGGGAUGCUUCCUUCGGGGAGUAUUCCGGCUGAAGAUGGGCAUGCGUUCCAUUAGGUAGUUGGUUGAGGUAACGGCUCACCAAGCCUGCGAUGGAUAGGGGAACUGAGAGGUUGGUCCCCCACACUGGUACUGAGACACGGACCAGACUCCUACGGGAGGCAGCAGUGAGGAAUCUUGGUCAAUGGACGGAAGUCUGAACCAGCCAUGUCGCGUGAAGGAGGACGGCCCUAAGGGUUGUAAACUUCUUUUGCAGGGGAAUAAAGUAUUCCACGAGAUGGGAUAUUGCAAGUACGCUGCGAAUAAGGAUCGGCUAACUCCGUG
rnacentral:rRNA from 1 species